rnacentral:rRNA from 1 species
GAUGAACGCUAGCGGCAGGCUUAAUACAUGCAAGUCGAGGGGCAGCACGGUUAGCAAUAACUGGUGGCGACCGGCGCACGGGUGCGUAACACGUAUACAAUCUACCUUAAACAGGGGGAUAGCCUUUCGAAAGAGAGAUUAAUACCCCGUAAUAAAUUGAACGGCAUCGUUUGAUUUUGAAAGCUCCGGCGGUUUGAGAUGAGUAUGCGUCUGAUUAGCUAGUUGGUGAGGUAACGGCUCACCAAGGCGACGAUCAGUAGGGGAUCUGAGAGGACUAACCCCCACACUGGUACUGAGACACGGACCAGACUCCUACGGGAGGCAGCAGUAAGGAAUAUUGGUCAAUGGAGGCAACUCUGAACCAGCCAUGCCGCGUGCAGGAUGACGGCCCUAUGGGUUGUAAACUGCUUUUAUACAAGAGAAAACCCUGGUACGUGUACCAGGUUGAUAGUAUUGUAAGAAUAAGCAUCGGCUAACUUCGUGCCAGCAGCCGCGGU